UACGAAGGGGGCUAGCGUUGUUCGGAAUCACUGGGCGUAAAGGGCGCGUAGGCGGCCGCUCGAGUCGGGGGUGAAAGCCUGUGGCUUAACCACAGAAUUGCCUUCGAUACUGUUUGGCUUGAGACCGGAAGAGGUGAGUGGAACUGCGAGUGUAGAGGUGAAAUUCGUAGAUAUUCGCAAGAACACCAGUGGCGAAGGCGGCUCACUGGUCCGGUUCUGACGCUGAGGCGCGAAAGCGUGGGGAGCAAACAGG
rnacentral:rRNA from 1 species